rnacentral:lncRNA from 10 species
CAAGAAAAGUAGAAUGGACUAAAGGUCUUUUAAAAACACACCUCACCAAGCUCAGCCACCAACUUAAAAAGGACUGGACAAUACUUUUACCACUUUCCCUUCUCAGAAUUCAGGCCUGUCCUCGUAAUGCUACAGGGUACAGCCCAUUUAAGGUCCUGUAUAGACACUCCUUUUUAUUACGCCCCAGUCUCAUUCCAGACACCAGACCAACUUAGACUGUGCCUCAAAAAAAACAAAAAAACUUGUCAUCCCUACUAUCUUCUGUCUACUCAUACUCCUAUUCACCGUUCUCAACUACUCAUACAUGCCCUGCUCUUGUUUACACUGCCAGUUUACACUGUUUUUCCAAGCCAUCACAGCUGAUAUCUCCUGGUGCUAUCCCCAAACUGCCACUCUUAACUCUUGAAGUAAAUAAAUAAUCUUUGCUGGCAGGACUAUGCCAAAUCUCCUUAAACACUCUCUAAUCAGACAUCCUGAGUCGUCCCAAUUCUUAGACCUUUUAUACCUGUUUUUCUCCUUCUGUUAUUCCAUUUAGUUUUUCAAUUCAUACAAAACCGUAUCCAGGCCAUCACCAAUCAUUCUAUACGACAAAUGUUUCUUCUAACAACCCCACAAUAUCACCCCUUACCACAAGACCUCCCUUCAGCUUAAUCUCUCCCACUCUAGGUUCCCACGCCGCCCCUAAUCCCGCUCGAAGCAGCCCUGAGAAACAUCACCCAUUCUCUCUCCAUACCACCCCCCAAAAAAUUUUCGCCGCCCCAACACUUCAACACUAUUUUGUUUUAUUCUUCUUAUUAAUAUAAGAAGGCAGGAAUAUCAGGCCUCUGAGCCCAAGCCAAGCCAUCGCAUCCCCUGUGACUUGCACGUAUACGCCCAGAUGGCCUGAAGUAACUGAAGAAUCACAAAAGAAGUGAAUAUGCCUUGCCCCACCGUAACUGAUGACAUUCCACCACAAAAGAAGUGUAAAUGGCCGGUCCUUGCCUUAACUGAUGACAUUACCUUGUGAAAGUCCUUUUCCUGGCUCAUCCUGGCUCAAAAAGCACCCCCACUGAGCACCUUGCGACCCCCACUCCUACCCGCCAGAGAACAAACCCCCUUUGACUGUAAUUUUCCUUUACUGACCCAAAUCCUAUAAAACGGCCCCACCCUUAUCUCUCUUCGCUGACUCUCUUUUCGGACUCAGCCCACCUGUACCCAGGUGAAAUAAACAGCUUUAUUGCUCACACAAAGCCUGUUUGGUGGUCUCUUCACACGGACGUGCAUGAAAGUUACCAAAUAAUAUUAUUUAAUAGUUGUCGAUUUAUACAGCAUACCAUUAAUGUUAAAACCGCUGUUGCAAGAGCAUUUAGACUCUUUCUUCAUAUGCUAUGUGGCAGGAAUUCUUGACCUCUAUUUUCCAUAAAUAUUGUAUAUAUACCUAGACUAAAAUGUCCGGUGUUUUCCACUGACAGCACUGAAUGGCAUCCUGCUAUCUUCAGGCAUCUCAAAUUGAAGUCACUACAGUUGGCUGGUACAUCAAGGGGCCAGCAGGGACCACAGCACCAAAUCUUCUCUCACCAUUAUCCCAGAUAAAAAGAGUGUGCUGCCUGUAGCUGCUAGCACCCUUUCUUUGAUAAGGGAGCACCCCAUAAGCUGUCCUGGAAAGGAAGGUGUUAGUUAAGUUGUGUUGCAGGUUGGAUUCUCCGGAGGCAGAUGCCUAGAAGUUUAGGGCCCGAGGUUUAUUUGGCACCAACACCUGUGGAAGAGAGAAGAAGCAGGAUUGGGCAGUGAAAGAUGUCCAGCAGUGAUAUGGGCAUGACAAAGUCUUGGCCAGAGGCUGUCUCUGUACCACCCACAGUGGGGUAUGUGCAGUGCAGUGACAUGAUGAUAGCUCACUGCAGCCUCAACCUCCCAGGCUCAGGCAAUCCUCCUGCCUCAGCCUCCUCAAGUCCUCCUUUGAAGAGGUAGCUGGACAUCACAUCGUUGUCUACCACGUAGUGUGUCUAGAUAAGGCUGGGAAAAGUGAGGUGGGUUAUCCCUGGGCAUCCUCUGGUUUAACAAGAGUAGGAACUCAGUUGACUGCUCUUGUUUCGUAUACCAUUAGACAAGUCCACAGCAGAAAGUGAAAGCACUGCCAGGUACAGUGACUCAUGCCUGUAUUCCUAGUGUUUAGGGAGACUGAGGCAGGAGGAUCGCUUGAGGCCAGGUGUUUGAGACCAGCCUGGGCAACAUAGCAAGACCCUGUCUCUACAAAAAUUUAAAAAAUUAGCCAGGUGUGGUGGUACACACCUGUAGUGCCAUCUACUCAGCAGGUUGAGGGAGGAGGAUCACUUAACCCGGGAGGCCGAGGCUGCAGUGAGCUAUGAUCACACCAAUGCACUUCAGCCUGGGCAACAGAUUGAGAGCCUGUCUCAAAAAAAAAAAAAAAAAAAAAAGUGAAGGCACCAAGUGGCAAUUGUCAGAGGCUGUGGCCUACUCAGGAAGCAGACUUGGAGAUGGAGAGUGGUGGACAGGAGGUUUGCUAGGGAGUGGUCUUGGGAUCACCACCUCUGGAAGGGGAAAGGAAGAAGGAUGGGGCAGGAAGAGAAGUUGGCUGAUGCAUUAGUCAGGGUUCACUAGAGGGAAAGAACUAAUAGGAUAGAUGUAUAUAUGAAGGGGAGUUUAUUAGGAAGAAUCAACUCACAAGAUCACAAGGUGAAGUCCCACAAUAGGCUGUCUGCAAGCUAAGGAGCAAGGAAGCCAGUCUGAGUUCCAAAACCUCAAAAGUAGGGAAGCCGACAAUGUGGCCUUCAGUCUGUGGCCGUAAGCUCGAGAGCCCCUGGCAAACCACUGGUCUAAGUCCAAGAGUCCAAAAGCUGAAGAGCUUGGAGUCUGAUGUUCAAGAGCAGGAAGGAUUCAGCAAGAGAGAAAGAUGGAAGGCCAGAAGACUCAGUAAGUCUGCUCUUUCUACCUUUUUCAGCCUGCUUUAUUCUAGCAGCUGAUUAGAUGGUGCCCACCCAGACUGCAGGUGGGUCUGCCUCUCCCAGUCCACUGACUCAAAUGUUAAUCUCCUUUGACAACACCCUCCCAGACACACCCAGGAACAAUACCUUGCAUCUUUCAAUUCAAUCAAGUUGACACUCAAUCUUAACCAUCACAGCCUAUGAUUCAGCCUCAACAGAGAGCAACCACAUGGCCAGCUCUAGACAAAGUGGGGGCCAGACCUUUAUAUCUCCUUAUAAACCAGUUCUUGGCUGUGGGCACCCUGGGAAGAGGGCAUGGUGGUGGGUGAGAUGACACUCUUCAUUUGAAGCAAUUCCGAUGAGGGCUGACAGCUGGGGAUCUCUGCCAGAAGCCCUCGCUGCAGCUGGUGGAGUAGCCCUUCAGUCUUGAGGAGACUCUGGGAUGACAUCACAGCAUCUGCUCCAGAAGUCUGCUGAACCCAUCCUGGCUAACUGUAAUGCAACUAUUAACCAUAAUACUUUCCUUUAAAAAUCUCAGACAAAUGCUGAAAGAGAUAAGAUACUGAGACAGGAAGUGUAAGCUGGGACUGUCCUAAGCGAAUCAGGAAAAAGUUAUCCUGUCUAUAAUGAAGUUCAGGGAGAAAGAACAGCUUACAUUAACAGCCUUGAAGAGGCCAGGCUAACAGGGACUGCUGAUGGGGAAAUAAAGAAAUAAUCAAGGAUGAAUCCUAUAUCUGGGGCUUGAGCAAAUACGUUCAAGUCCUGACACUGGUACCUGUGAAUGUGAUCUUAUCUGGAAAGAGAGACUUUUUGGCCUAUGAGAUGUGGGGGCCCCAAAUCCAAUGACUGAAGUCAAUGGAAGAAGAUGAGAGGAUGCACAGAGAGACACACAAAGAGAAGAGCACCAUGUGUAGAUGGAGGCACAGGUUGGAGCGAUGCAGCUACAAGCCAAGGAACACCAAGGAACUAGAAAGAGGCAUUAAGAAUCCUUCCUUAGAGCCUUCAGAGGGUAGCUGGCCCUGCUGACACCUUAAUUUUGGACUUCUAGCCUCUAGAAUUAUGAGUGAAUACAUUUCUGUUAUUUUAAGCCACAGAAGUGGUAAUUUGUUAUAGCAAUGCUUGGGAACAAAUACAUAUACCAAUAUGGUUCUAUUAGCUAGUAUACUCUAAUUUUAUAGUCGGUAAUAUCAAGGGAGUAACACAAGGUAUCUGCACUACAGAAGCAGAUGUCUGAUUACUAGGUUCUGUGAUGAAACUUUGUAUUUCAAAAAAUGGAUCCCCUUCAUUCUCUCCUUGUUUCUAUGUCUGCUGUCCUGAAGCCAGAUGUGUUACCAUGAUGUCUUUAUACUAAUAUACUAACACAGCAGUUCUCAAAGCACUGUUCAUGGACACUUUGAGCUCCCUGAGACUCUUCCAGGGGGAGGCCAAAUCUAUUCUCAUACUUUCCCUUUUCACUGUGUUGACAUUUGCAGUGAUAGUGCAGAAGCAACGAUAGGCAAAACUGCUGACACCUUAGGACAAAUGGCAGUACCAGCAAUUGCACUAGUAGACAUCUUAUUCUUCGUCUUCAUGACUGGCAGAAAACAAACAAACAUAAAAAGAAUUUGACUUAAGAAUGACCUUGAUGAAGCAGCAACAUGAUUUAUUAAAUCUUUAUCCUUCAGUACAAGUCUUUUUAAUAUUGUGUGUGAUGUUAUGGGGAGUACAAAUAAAGCACUUCUGUGACAUACAGAAGUACAAAAAAAUAGUACUUGUGUAAUUGAGUUCUAGCUAAACUAGCAGCUUUUCCCAUGAACACCAGUUUUACUUGACAAACAGACUUGGGCUAUUCAGGUUAUUCAGACUUGGGUAUUUGGCAAACAUGUCCCUCCAUGCUCAGAGAUUCUCCUUCAGAGGCAACCAUCUUAGACUCUGUUUUCUUUACUGAGAAUGACAUUUCUUGUAAAAGCUUAAACACAGGUAAGGCCAAGGUAUUUUGCCUAAGGACAGAAAGCAUAAUGUUGUAGAGGUGGGUUCCCUUCCAGCCCAUUACACUUCCCAUUCCACUAAACGAGACAGGUGGUUUUCCACAUUUCAUGCAUCUCCUCCUUGAGACAGUGAAUCAAUGCUGCAAGAGAAAGAAAUGCCAGGUGGAAAAGCUGACAAGUCAGAUAUUACACAGCCACUUAAUUUUUAUUUUGUAGUUUUCACAAUUUGAGCAACCAAGUAGAAUACAUUAAAAAGAUACUAAAAAUGCGCUGUGAUAAAAUUCAUUUGACCAGGAAAUAUAGGCUUUCAUGUUUUUGUCUCCAGCUCAGCCUUUUCUCAUUUUUAAUGGCAACUGUUUUCUGGAUUUGGCACUUAUUUUGACAAAAGCUAUGUUGAGUUGCAAAUUGAAACAUGGUGCAUAGCUUCUAUGAUUAAGAAAUCCAGAAUCUAUCCAACCUAAGGCCUUAAAGGCAGAAAGAAAUGCUCAGAGAAAAAUUUCUCAACUUUGCCAUGUACCGAUAAAUGCCUGAUAUAAAUAUUAACUGUUAUUUCUGCAAACGUUCCCACUGUUUUAUAUACUUCAUUUCCCCCAUUUGUGAGACGGCAAUGUAUUCUGGAAAUUUGAUGGAUAGAAACUCGUGAUUGAGUCUUCUCAGCAUGGGAUAGGUCAGUAUUUGUGACUCAGCUGGCUGGUGCCAGAGUGGAGAACUCGUCUGAUUUGUUUCCACCCCAGGCACUGAAGGAUUUUCAAGAUUUUCCUCUUAAUAUUUGGUUUUACUUGAUAAUCCUAGAGCAUGCUGGGAAAUCUCAGCAAGAGAAAAAAUUUAGUAACCACAGGGAGGCCUGCUCAGAGGGCUGUGGGUAAGUAUGAAAGCUUAUGUGUAUGCCUACUAAUAACUCUUGAAUAUUUUGCUUUUCACAAGGUUUUCCUUCAACAAAAAGUAUGUAGGCUUGUAAGGACAGUGGGCCUUUAGAAAACUCAGCCAUUCCCAGAAAGACAAAUGCACAUUUGAGUCAUUUCCCAAGAGAGAUGUCACUAGUCAGGAAGGUAUGUGGAACCACACGGUUCAGCUUGCAAUUUAGAAUUUCAAAAGCAGGAGUUGGCCAAAAGUUGCCUAGGGUUUUUAACCUCACGUUUUUACCAUAAAUUUUCUUUCUUAUUUGUUGAGUGCUGACCUCACCCUUGUCAUAGGUGGGAUAGAAGAGAUGCUAGCUGCCUCUGAUCAACAUUGGAGAAAAUGCCCAAUUAAGAAAUAGGCUUCAUAGCCAAGGUGACUAAAUCCCAAAGGCUUGUUUGUUUUCUUUGUGCAACCCAACUUCUUAUGGGCUUGCUUUUGGAUUCUGUUGUUUCCUUUGUUUUUGUUUGGUUGGUUGUUUAUAUGUUGUUACUAAGACUCUGUCUUGGAGAUGUUGGACAAUAGGCUAGUGUCUCAUUGGAUCUAGGUGUUCCAGAUGUGAGCUAGGUCCUAGAAGGAGGUGGUAAGAAGGCUUUGCACUAUGCCCUGGGGAGGGCUGUUUUGCUGGCGGGUGACCAGGUUCUGAGGGAGUCUGUACCUAGUAGAUUUUCUCAACAUUCAGCAGGUGUGUGAGACACCUGACAUGGCUGAUCUUGGUACAGAAGGAAUCCAGCUGGAAGUGAUCUGUGUGUAGCAUGUCUCAUAGAAAUACAAGGAGCCUUGUCUUGUGACCCUGUACCUGUAAGGCCUCAAAGGACCUCACUCAUAACAGCUAGGAUGACUCUAUGAACCCCUAUAUGCUGGAAAUAGCCCCAGCUUAAUUUAGUUUAAUUCAGUUCACACUUAUUAGGUUCCUACUAAGAAAAAUAAUUUGCUUGAACAUAAUUAUUUUUUGUGAUUUAGUUUAUCCUCAUUUUAAUUGGAAGAAACUGGGGAUUAGAGAGGGUAAGUGGCUUAUCCAAGUUCAUACGACUGGUUCUUCCUGCCACAUGGCUUCAUUUUGAUAAGAAAUAUGACUUUCUCUUCUGUGAUAAAAAUAAGAUCUUGUGCCCUGGUGAGUUGGACAGUCUGGGAGUUCUGCCUGUUCUGAUUUUUUUUCCUGGUGGGAUAUUGGAUGAAACAUUCUAAUACUCAAUUCUAAAUUCAUGGUAACUUUGGGAAAUGUAUGUGCUUGUGUACAUGUGUGCGCAUGUGUGUGUAUGUGAAAUAGAAUGUAUGAUAGUUGUCCCAGGGUAGAUUUCCUGAAACAAACUCAUGUCUAUUGGGGCACUCAUCAUACCUUCCCUUUACUCUGUGUCUAAUGCUGGUCUCCCUUAGGCUCAUCAAUUAGGAAAGCCUAUAGCUGUUGCCACAUAACUGUCUGGAACUCUCAAUGUUGAUAUAUCAUUUUUAUCUGUUUAUAGACAAAUGAAAAUUUAGCCACUUUUUUUAUUACUUAAAUUGAAGACAGCUCAAGCCUGUCUCAACAAUGUGAGAAUGUCUUCUUUUUAUAAUCUCAAGUCCUUAUGAUGCUUAUGCAAACCUUUUUAAAGAAUAAAUAUAAAAGGAAUAUUGCCCCUGAUUAUGUAAAGCUGAUGUGGCAGACAUGGUAGAUUGUCUUGUUUGACAUCUGUACUAUCUCAUUCUCGUCUGCUCUUCCAUAUAGCGUUUGUCAGGAAUCCUUGUUUUGAAGGAUCUUGAUAUGUUUUGGAUACAAAUUUUAGUGGCAGCAGUGCUGAAGGCACCAUUCACUCUUUUGAGUCUAGCAGAAGCAAAGCCACAUUAAAGCCCAUAGUUCUUAGCAGCUUUCCAAUUCCCAGAUUGCAGAGAGUGCAGAUAAGUUACUGUAUUCCUGAAGUGGUUUCCUGAUUCCCUCAUAUAUCAGUCAAGAAUCUCCAAAGAAACAGAAAAAAUAGAAGAUAUAUAUGUUAAAGAAUUGGCUUGAGUGAUUUUGGGGACUGGCAAGUCCAAAAUUUGUAGGACAGGCCAGCUGGCUGGAAACUGAGAUAGGAAGUGAUAUAGUCUUGGGUGUGAAACCUGUAGGACAGGCUGGCAGGCUGGAAGCUCAGGAAGGAUUUACAUUAAAAUGUUGAGGCAAAAAGUAAAAUAAAUAAAAUGGUGAGGUGGAAUUCUCCAUUCUCUAGAAAAUCCCAAUUUUUGCUCUUAACACCUUCAACUGAUUAGAUAAUGUGUGCCCACAUUAUCUUUAAAAGUAAUGUUCUUUAAAGUCAACUGAUUGUAGAUAUUAAUCCCAUCUACAAAAUACCUUUAUAGCAAUAUCUAGAUUAGUGUUUGACCAAACAACUGGGCACCAUAGCUGAGCCAAACUGACACAUAAAAUUAACCGUCACAUCUAGUUUCCUGACUGUGGCAGAGAUAACGAUGAACUUGAUGGGCCACUUAAGCAGGAUUCUUCUAGAAAUCUGUCCUGGAGUUUCAUCCUAGAAUCUGCUAUGACAACCAGCUCAUCUAAGAAAUUU